rnacentral:tRNA from 1 species
GGGCGGUUCGUAUAGCGGCAAUUACUCCAGACUGUAAAUCUGGCGGCCAUCGGCCUUCGGGGGUUCGAGUCCCUCACCGCCCA